rnacentral:rRNA from 1 species
AGAGUUUGAUCAUGGCUCAGAGCGAACGCUGGCGGCAGGCCUAACACAUGCAAGUCGAACGGGCCCCUUCGGGGGUCAGUGGCAGACGGGUGAGUAACGCGUGGGAACGUGCCCAUCGGUUCGGGAUAACCCAGGGAAACUUGGGCUAAUACCGGAUACGCCCUUUUGGGGAAAGAUUCAUUGCCGAUGGAUCGGCCCGCGUCUGAUUAGCUAGUUGGCGAGGUAACGGCUCACCAAGGCUACGAUCUGUAUCCGGUCUUAGAGGACGGUCGGACACACUGACACUGAAUAACGGGUCAGACUCCUACGGGAGGCAGCAGUCGGGAAUUUUGGGCAAUGGGCGAAAGCCUGACCCAGCAACGCCGCGUGAAGGAUGAAGUAUCUCGGUAUGUAAACUUCGGAAGAAUGGAAAGAAUAAAUGACGGUACCAUUUUUAAGCCCCGGCUAACUCCGUGCCAGCAGCCGCGGUAAUACGGGGGGGGCAAGCGUUGUUCGGAUUUACUGGGCGUAAAGGGCGCGUAGGCGGCGUGACAAGUCACUUGUGAAAUCUCCGGGCUUAACUCGGAAUGGUCAAGUGAUACUGUCGUGCUAGAGUGCAGAAGGGGCAAUCGGAAUUCUUGGUGUAGCGGUGAAAUGCGUAGAUAUCAAGAGGAACACCAGAGGCGAAGGCGGAUUGCUGGGCUGACACUGACGCUGAGGCGUGAAAGCUAGGGUAGCAAACGGGAUUAGAUACCCCAGUAGUCC